CAACCCUCAAGCACUGCUUGGUGUUGGGCCACGCCCAUUGCGGCCGGCCCUAAAGUCAGUGGCGGCGCCGCCAGGAUCCCGAGCGUAGUACAAUACCCUCGCUCCGGGGCCGGGCGGCUGCUUGCCAGAAGACCCAACUUUUGU
rnacentral:misc_RNA from 2 species